rnacentral:rRNA from 1 species
UACGAUUUUUUUUGUUUUUUUGUUUUAUGUUUUUUUUUGUAAAAUAUUUAAAUUUAUUUAUGUUUUUUUGUAAUAUUGAAAAUUUGGUGUUUGAACUGGAUUAGUACCCAGGUAAUCAAAAUUUAUUAAUUCGGGAGUAAAGUUUUGUUUAAACCGAAAAAAUAUUGACUGACUUUAGAUUUUUCUUUGGAAUAUGUGUUUUUUUGGA